CCCUUAGAUGUUCUGGGCCGCACGCGCGCUACACUGAUGAAUUUAACGAGCUCCUAACCUAGGCCGAAGGGUCCGGGUAAUCUUUGAAAUUUCAUCGUGAUGGGGAUAGAUUAUUGCAAUUAUUAAUCUUCAACGAGGAAUUCCUAGUAAGCGCGAGUCAUCAGCUCGCGUUGAUUACGUCCCUGCCCUUUGUACACACCGCCCGUCGCUCCUACCGAUUGAAUGGUCCGGUGAAAUGUUCGGAUCGCGGCAAAUCGGACGGGUAACCGUCAGGUUCGCUGCGAGAAGUUCAUUAAACCUUAUCAUUUAGAGGAAGGAGAAGUCGUAACA
rnacentral:rRNA from 1 species